CGCUUAUCCUGCGCUUCUUUUCCCCUAGUGACAGUAACUCAUCCUCCAAGGAAGAGCAAGUUUCUCCACAUACCAAGCGGCGCCCAGAAAUGCUCUUUAAGGGAUUACGCUGAUCCAUGAAACCUUAAAGGUAACUGCAGGAAAAUAGACACCUCUAUGAAACAGGCCAAAUGCACAUCCCUGUAGCUGGUGUAGUUUCCUAAGGUCCCAGCCAUAAGGAGGUGAAGAGAAGCUUGCAUUUCACUUGCCAUUCACAACAUGGAAACCAGAUGAAGAGAGUACUUGCAAAAUUAGGCCACAACCAACAACUUUCACUGAGCUAAAAUACAUUUUGAACCAUUCUGAAGGGUGGAAGAAAUGUGAAAGCGUCUCACCAUUUUCCAGCCUCUCUGGCCAUUGGAUUUUUAUAAGUUCCAAAAGCUGGUGAAGUCUCAACUAUAUAGCUGUCUGCCUGCAGGAAAUUCAGCAAUCACUUAAUUGUUUUGUCUUCUGAAAACAAAGCCAUGAAAAACAAGUGCCUUUCUAAAGAGUUCCAGCUCUCUUCAUGAACAUGUAUUGCAUCC